rnacentral:rRNA from 1 species
CNAACGUGAAGGGGGCUUCGGUCCCUGGAAAGUGGCGCACGGGUGAGUAACGCGUGGAUAAUCUGCCCAGUGAUUUGGGAUAACAUCUCGAAAGGGGUGCUAAUACCGAAUAAGCCCACGGAGUCUAAGGAUUCUGCGGGAAAAGGGGGGGACCUUAGGGCCUUCUGUCACUGGAUGAGUCCGCGUACCAUUAGCUAGUUGGUGGGGUAAUGGCCCACCAAGGCUACGAUGGUUAGCUGGUCUGANAGGAUGAUCANCCACACUGGAACUGAGACACGGUCCAGACUCCUACGGGAGGCAGCAGUGGGGAAUUUUGCGCAAUGGGCGAAAGCCUGACGCAGCAACGCCGCGUGAGUGAUGAAGGCCUUCGGGUCGUAAAGCUCUGUCGGGAGGGAAGAAGUGGUUGGAGGCUAAUACCCUCUAAUCUUGACGGUACCUCCGAAGGAAGCACCGGCUAACUCCGUGCCAGCAGCCGCGGUAAUACGGAGGGUGCAAGCGUUGUUCGGAAUUAUUGGGCGUAAAGCGCGUGUAGGCGGUCUUUUAAGUCUGAUGUGAAAGCCCCGGGCUCAACCCGGGAAGUGCAUUGGAAACUGGGAGACUUGAGUACGGGAGAGGGUAGUGGAAUUCCUAGUGUAGGAGUGAAAUCCG